rnacentral:rRNA from 1 species
GACGAACGCUGGCGGCGUGCCUAAUACAUGCAAGUAGAACGCUGAAGAGAGGAGCUUGCUCUUCUUGGAUGAGUUGCGAACGGGUGAGUAACGCGUAGGUAACCUGCCUUGUAGCGGGGGAUAACUAUUGGAAACGAUAGCUAAUACCGCAUAACAAUGGAUGACCCAUGUCAUUUAUUUGAAAGGGGCAAAUGCUCCACUACAAGAUGGACCUGCGUUGUAUUAGCUAGUAGGUGAGGUAACGGCUCACCUAGGCGACGAUACAUAGCCGACCUGAGAGGGUGAUCGGCCACACUGGGACUGGGACACGGCCCAGACUCCUACGGGAGGCAGCAGUAGGGAAUCUUCGGCAAUGGGGGCAACCCUGACCGAGCAACGCCGCGUGAGUGAAGAAGGUUUUCGGAUCGUAAAGCUCUGUUGUAAGUCAAGAACGAGUGUGAGAGUGGAAAGUUCACACUGUGACGGUAGCUUACCAGAAAGGGACGGCUAACUACGUGCCAGCAGCCGCGGUAAUACGUAGGUCCCGAGCGUUGUCCGGAUUUAUUGGGCGUAAAGCGAGCGCAGGCGGUUUGAUAAGUCUGAAGUUAAAGGCUGUGGCUCAACCAUAGUUCGCUUUGGAAACUGUCAAACUUGAGUGCAGAAGGGGAGAGUGGAAUUCCAUGUGUAGCGGUGAAAUGCGUAGAUAUAUGGAGGAACACCGGUGGCGAAAGCGGCUCUCUGGUCUGUAACUGACGCUGAGGCUCGAAAGCGUGGGGAGCGAACAGGAUUAGAUACCCUGGUAGUCCACGCCGUAAACGAUGAGUGCUAGGUGUUGGAUCCUUUCCGGGAUUCAGUGCCGCAGCUAACGCAUUAAGCACUCCGCCUGGGGAGUACGACCGCAAGGUUGAAACUCGAAGGAAUUGACGGGGGCCCGCACAAGCGGUGGAGCAUGUGGUUUAAUUCGAAGCAACGCGAAGAACCUUACCAGGUCUUGACAUCCCGAUGCUAUUUCUAGAGAUAGAAAGUUACUUCGGUACAUCGGUGACAGGUGGUGCAUGGUUGUCGUCAGCUCGUGUCGUGAGAUGUUGGGUUAAGUCCCGCAACGAGCGCAACCCCUAUUGUUAGUUGCCAUCAUUCAGUUGGGCACUCUAGCGAGACUGCCGGUAAUAAACCGGAGGAAGGUGGGGAUGACGUCAAAUCAUCAUGCCCCUUAUGACCUGGGCUACACACGUGCUACAAUGGUUGGUACAACGAGUUGCGAGUCGGUGACGGCAAGCUAAUCUCUUAAAGCCAAUCUCAGUUCGGAUUGUAGGCUGCAACUCGCCUACAUGAAGUCGGAAUCGCUAGUAAUCGCGGAUCAGCACGCCGCGGUGAAUACGUUCCCGGGCCU